rnacentral:lncRNA from 1 species
UGGGUAAUCCUCCGCCCACAGUCAAUAGGGGUCUGCAGCUGGGGCAAGGUCAGCGGGGAUCUGAUCAGUGAGACCUAGUCAGGUCUCACUGACUGACUAGGCCCUGGGGGUUGGGGCCUGGCCAGCAAGAGUCCAGUAGUUGGGGCGUGUUUGGCGAGGGUCUCAUGGUUGGGGUCUGGCCAGCGGGGGUCCCACAGUUGGGGCCUGGUGAGCAGAGAUCUGGCAGUUGCAGCCUCGUCCAUGGGGGUCUGGCAGUUGGGGCCUGGUCAGUGGGGUCUGGCGGUUGGGGCCUGGUCAGUGAGGAUCAGAUCAGUGCGGUCUAGGCAGUGAGGUCUGGACGCUGGGCCUUCAUCUGCAUGGGUCUCGCAGUUGGGACCUGGUCAGCAGGGGUCUACCAGUUGGGGCCUGGUUGGCGGAAUCAGGCAGUUGGGACCUGGUUGUCGGGGGUCCAACAGUUGGGGCCUGG